rnacentral:lncRNA from 1 species
GAUAUAUACAGACCCCUGCAAUAGAACUCAAAAUAUAAUAUAAAUCUGCUACUACUACCAACACUAUUAGAAGUGACAGAAGGUAUGAGUGUCACAACUGCAAAAGCUCAAACUGAUCAACAACCAAUCACGACAGAAAACAGCAACCGAGGCCGCCAACCAGAAGAAGCUGUCACAGAUUCAAACAGUGACACGCAUAAACAAAACUUUGAUUUGAAAGUUGAAAAUGAUGUGGUGAAAUACAAACUUCAGAAUGUAUCUGAAAGCCAACAGACCAGCAUGAAGGAGGAGAACAGCACUAAAAUCUGUUUGACUAUUAAAAGCCACCGAGGAGGUUCACCUUCAGUGGAGAAAAAUGACCCAAAGCCAUUAACCACUUUACCGAUACAAGAAAAUGUGGUUUCACAUAAGGUAUCGUUAGAGAACUAUGAAGGGAAGAUAUGUGAGGAACAACGGCCGAGUACAAAGCGCCAACUGUCCGCUGAGAGCGUGGCGAAAUCAGUGAGUGUAAGAAAGAGGAGCACUGUGAAAAAGAGCCAAGAGAUUGUGAAACCCCUCUCAGUUGCCAGCCCUGGCACGCAGUCUGGGAGACCUUAUCUACCUGCAGUCUCCUCCUCUCAGAGGAAACCCAGAAAAUUGCUGUUCUCCAGCACUGAUAUUUUCAGCAAAGUAGACACAUUCUCAAUCCAAAAAGGAAGAGAGUUGAGGGAGCAGGAAGUAUUUGAUGCUCAGAAGAUUGCUUGUGCAGUCACAGAGAGGGGAAGAAAUGAUGUGGAAAAACUCAGGGCCAUAUGGACCUGGCUA